CAGUAGCGUAUAUUAAAGUUGUUGCAGUUAAAAAGCUCGUAGUUGGAUUUCUGGCUUGAGACGCCUGAGCCGCCAGGGUUACCUGUGUGAGUCUCGGUGUGUCUCUGCCAUCCUUCUGGAUAGCGUGUCUACCUUUUAUUAGGCCGGGCUCGUGCUCCAGAUCUUUUACUUUGAAAAAUUAGAGUGUUUAAAGCAAGCUUGCGCUAUGAAUACAUUAGCAUGGAAUAAUAACUUAGGACUUUGGUUCUAUUUUGUUGGUUUCUAGGACUGAAGUAAUGAUUGAUAGGGAUAGUUGGGGGUGCUAGUAUUCAGCGGCCAGAGGUGAAAUUCUUGGAUUCGCUGAAGACUAACUUAUGCGAAAGCAUUCACCAAGGAUGUCUUCUUUAAUCAAGAACGAAAGUUGGGGGAUCGAAGACGAUCAGAUACCGU
rnacentral:rRNA from 1 species